GCGCAACUGCCACCCAAAGCAAGGCCAGAAGGAAGAAAUCUUUUGAUGGUAGCACUGAUGUACGGUCAGAAUCUGCUGGAGCAAGAAAGCAACAAGGCAGUAAGAAGAACAGG
rnacentral:ribozyme from 14 species